AUGCAGCCCACGAUGAUUCCUCUUCACUCAGUGUGCCAUGGGUUGGACACACAUGUUGUACAGCACAGAGACAAGUGCAGAAGAGAAAAUGAUGCUACAGCAGGUGAUAAUUCAGGACGUAGAAGAGAAAUAGAACAGUUAUCUCCCAGGCCUAACUGGUGGAGCUGCACGGCCCAAACUGGUUGUGUCCCAAGCCCUUUGUGUAUGACACAAAGCCUCACUGCCCCAUUGCCUUCCAUGACCCCAAGGCAGCAGGAGUACACGGGCUACAGUGUUCAGCUCCCCAAGGCUGGGGCUGAUCCUUUCCGUGGUGCCAGGAUGUCACAGGUGAUGGCAACCAGCACCAAGGCAUGGCAUGGCCCAACGAGAGGCAUCUCAGAUGGCCAUUAAGCUCUUGCUGGAUUUCAUUAUUUCUAUGGACAAGAGAGCAGCCUGAAACGCAGCUGCUGAGCGUCAGUUCGUAGGAACUGUAUCUACACUGCAGUCCUCUGCUGACAUUGCUGCAUUAGCAGAGGUGAGAAGCGGAGCGGUGAAACUGGGCCAACAAAACGUUUCAUGUAGCAGCACUUAAACUGGCAAAGCUGUGAUUAGCAGGAACGUCUUGCUCAUGUGAGGUAAUUUUAUUAUGCUAUUUUAGCAGGCAGCAUUGAGAAGAUGACCUUGUCCAUGCUAAGAGGACACAGCUGCAUCUCUGGCAGAGCAUGCUGAGCCCCGACCUGCGAGGGAAGGACCAGGUGUGCUGGAGCCUCACAAAGCCCAUGUGCUACCUGCCUCCCAAAUGUGGAGUAUUUUAGGGGAAAAAAAGAAAAGUUCAUGAAAAGAUGGCAUUUGGUCACUCUCUGAGGACUCAGGGGACAGAUGAGAGGAAAGCAGUUGGACUUGAUGGAGGUUUCCAUGCCAGAUGCUAGAAGAGCAAUGCAGCUGUAGGUGUGGCACUGGAGCUGGCGGCUGGGGAUGGGCAGAGAGCCACUGACACUGCUGAGAGUGUCCAAGGGCACUAAUGUGCCUUUUCUUGAAGGCUGUGGUGUGGACCAGUGCUCCUCAAGACCCCCUCCGACUUGUGACCGCAUCAGCAUCCCAGUCCCACGGGCAGCCCUUACUGCAGAGCACCCAUCCUCCACCCCUUAUUUGGAUCCGUUUCCCUCUUAAACAAAGAUCACAUUAUCACAUGACGCAAACCAAACAUCACCAAAAGGCAGAGAGUGAACAAACAGACUGAGCGGAGGGCAUCCCAACCCACCGCUCUCCUUAUCUGCCUCCGAUCAGGGCAGUGCGCUGCAGUCCCUGAGGGGUGGAGCAGCAUCUCAAGUACAUACCUGGUUUUGAUGUUAUUUGUUUUUUGUUUUUGGGGUUUUUUUAAUCAUGCUGCUGAGGUAAUGAGGGUUCCAGGCUCUAAAUAUCACUUGAAGUCAGGGACAAACUGGCAUUAAUGACAGGGAGAGGGCAGCAUCCAGGUGGGUGCUUUGGUUCAGGAACGUUGCUCCUCUGCUACUGCACCCUGCAGGUGCUCAGAGCCAAUUUUGCAUUUUCCCAGAGACCUUUUCUAGUUGUUGGGACCUUUUUGCCUGCUGGAAAGGCAGAGCAGACUUUUUGAAGUGGACAGAGUGAGGCACAGCACAAGCCCAGUCUGCUGGCACUGGUCUCUGGUUGAGCAUGGCACUGUGCACCCCAAAGGAGAGCACUGGGUGCUGCGUAUUGCCCAUCUCAAAUCCCCCAUUUUGUGCACCAGGAGAAGGACCCAGGGCAGAGGCACGUCCUCUAUGCCCACUCCUUGCUCUCCAGGCUGUGGCCACAGCUAAUCCUUGUGAGAUCAUCACACAGAACCUGUUCAGCUGUAAAUCGCUUCCUGCUGAGCACCCAUAAUACACAGAUUGGAGGUAACUUUACUCCAGAGAGCCAAUUAGUGCAAAUCUAGACCUGGUAAUUACAGCGUGAUAAGAUCCCGGCUGCUGAUAUCUCUGGGCAGAUAAGGCACCAGGAAGCAAUCUCCUAACGCAAUCGCAGUGAUUAUUAAAGCUUCACCUCCGUCCCACAAAGCCCUGGGGAGGUUUAGCACCAGCUCUAUGCUUAUGGCACCAAGAGCAAGCUGCUGCUCCAGGAACAAGGCAGGAGCAGGAGGGAAGAGCUGC
ensembl:lncRNA